AACUGUUAUAGGUCUAGUUUAACCGGAAGUCGAGGAAGCGCGUCAGAAUUCAUUUACAACAUUGGGUGUCCCAAGCUAUCAAGUGUAGGUGUAGAGUUAGUGAGGUAGGUGAUCCUGACGUAUGCCGACUUGUAUGUGUGUCGUUUAUAUAGUGUGAGAACUUAGCGAAUCAUUGGACAUUUGUAGAACUCAUCAACGCAGCUGCAUUUACUUAUAGGGAGAUCAACAUGAAUACGUUACAGAGCUUAUGUGUAGUGGCACUAUUGUUUUGUUUAUGUGGACACACAGCCGCGAGGAGUAUCGAAUGUUCCACCCUGUGUACUCAGGGUUACUCAAUUUCAUCCUGUGAGUGUUGGAGGUUCAAGGUCAAACUGCCCUUCCGGUUUGGUAAAAGGGGAAGACUUCCAUUCAGAUACGGAAAACGAGAUUCGCCUGUGAUAUCAUCAUACGACAGUAGUAUAGAAAAACCGAGUUACGAUGACAUUUUGGAUUUAUUCCGUAACUACUCAUAUGAUGAAUACUAACAUCCGGGGAUUGACAGGUCUGGAUCAUAGGAUUGUUUGAAUCAACGUCUCAUGGAACCUUGUAAUGUCACACUUAAGUGCCUAUAGGGGUCAUCUCAAAAUUAUAUAACAGUAGACCUAACGAAUGUGCAAGUCUGUUUAGGAGACAUAUCAAACAUUUAUGUUGUUCAAAAUAGACAUUUUUCGUGAUAAAUUGCUCAUAUGUAUUAUUUUUGGUAAAUAUUAGGGGUUUUGUUUGUUAAUUGAAAUUUUAAAGUUUUAAGGCAAAUUUGUUUAUCUAAUAUCAUAACAAACCUACUCCCGAAAGUUCAGGAUCUAGUGGAAAGAAAAGCUGAACUCUUCUGAUGACCGUGAAGGAUUCGCUGGAUUUAGUGUACACAAAUCCAUAUCAAAACAUCAAUGUUGUGUAUAUACGUAUACCAAAAGAAUCAUAAGUGUAUGCUUGCACUAAAUCUUGCAAUACAAGCUAAAACGGAUCAAACAGGCUAUAUACAUGUUAUGCGCUUUCCGUGUGAAUGAUAGACCAAAGGAAACGAUCUUACUUGUGUUGCUGUAUUCGAUCCACAGAACAGACAAGAGUUUACCUUGAAAAUGUAGUUACAUUCGUAUUACAUUCGGAGUUUUUGCUUAACAUUUGAGGACCAGGGCUAUCUUGUGUCAAACAUCAAUUUAUUUUCCUCGCCUCAACCACGUCUUGCUAUUUUCGUCGAUCUUGAGAUGGUGUUGCUAUGCCUUAUGUUCUACGGAACUCUUCUGUUCGCUGAAGGUAAUAAAGUUAUUUGCGGAUGAGAUUCUGCAUGGAACAUAUGGAUACUUCCAAUGAUAACGCUUUGUGCUUCUCUUAAUGGCGGAAACAACUGUUAAAGAGACAUUUACUAUGAAUAAGUGGUUACCGGGGUCUUGAUUAAUGACAGAAGUUUGACCAAAUGGGGCUUUAUAGUCAUCAUCGAAGAAUAUUUAAUGGCUUUUACAGGAUGUCUAGAGGUCAAUAAAUUAUGAAAGUGUCUAUCAUUUAUGAUUUCCAGCAUGCUUUAUUCCUUAUGAACGUGCUUUUAUUUAACUCUGAAUAUGGUAGAUAUCGAUUUUCAGAGUAUUAUAAGGUCAUUUCACUCUGUUUCACCCGCGCACACAGCAUACUUAAGUGAGAAUUUUGAAUCAAUAUAAUCAAAAUGUCGGUCCUUUUUCCGGUUUAGUAUCUAGCAUAAGACUGAUAAUCGCAUGAUAAAGAAUGGUGUAGAUAUCUUCUAAUUCUAGGUAAGUGCAUCUCCGUUUUUUUUCUUUUUGUGUAUAUCUUGUUUACCCAAAUACUUUAUCAUAUAUCUUUCUCCCUUCCACACAAAAGAGUUCUCUGCAUUUAUUUAAAUUUAUAUAAAAAUGGCGAUAACAACAGGGAACACAUGUUUAUUGAGUACAAUCAGUAAUGAUUCGAAUAUUAUCUAUCUGUAUUUCAUCGUAAACUACAAAAAAGGGUGACAGUCAGGACGACUUCAUGCAAAGAUACCAAUCAUUGAGUUCAUGCGUCAUUCGUCUCCAUGGCGACAUCGAAUGAGCUUAUCGCUCCUUCAUAAAGGAUACUGUUACUUCUUAAUAGUUUGUCUUUACUGAUGUAUUGAGUAGGAUUAUAUUUCAGAAAGUAUUGCGGUUAAGUUAUGGCCGAUACAGCUGGGGUUUGUAUGAAGAUAAAAAUAUGCAUUGGUUUCCGAUUCCUUUAGCGAUUGACGCUUUAGAUUCAUUCAAUUGCCUAUAACACCUGUAAUAAAGACUUUACAAAGGAGCCCUGUUUCAGAAAAUAUCUUUAUUUAUACAGGGAAGAAGAUUAUUGUAGUUGUUGAAUGAUGUAUAUUCGAUUAUUUCUUAGUUUCGAAAUAAAAUUUCUGAUUCCGAAUUUAGUUUCCGGGAAAAAAACGUAUCCGGAAUUUUCAAUCCCAGAAAAAUAAAAUGUGUUUAACAUCAAAACUUUAAUGUUAAGUUACCCCCCUUUAGUUCGCCCUCAACCACGGAUAGGUUAGAUGAGUGUUUACUGUUGGGAGUAGAAAAUCAGUGUUCGCGUGCUUCAUUGAACAGAUCUGUUAUUUCAAAGCAAUCAUAAGUUAGAUUGAAACGAUUGUGUCUGUAUACUUAACACUACACAGAUAGAGGCAUUGUCCGGUUUGAUAAUGAAGAACAUAGAUCACUUGUGUUUCCUAAACAAGUCUUGUGGGAAAUCACUUUACACGUUUAAGAUGUGUAGAAACAUUUCACAUAUAGAAUUUACACGUGUAAAUACGUGAAGAAAUAUUUCACAUAUAGAAUUUAUACGUGUAAAUAUGUAUACUGUAAACGUCUAUAUUUAGCGUAAAGUAGGUGGAUGUAAUGCUGAAUUGGUACAGCCGCAAUACAAUAAUAAAUUAACGAAAUAGCUUGAGCGCAAAUAUCGCUAAAAUAAGAUUACCGCAAAAAUAAUAUUACCGCUAAAUUAUCAUUACCGCUAAAAUAACUUUCUGCUAAUAUAUCUACGUUUACAGUAUUUUAGAAGUGUUUGUAACUUUGAAGACACUCUACAUGCGUUUUGUUAGUACGGCACGUGAUGUGUGUAGGGCUGGCACUGAACUACUCGCAUUUCGCCUCGUAAACAAGUUUGGAAGGUGACAUUGGACAUGGUUCUACCAGUACUACCAGCCUGUAAUAUUUAUUUUCUUAUAAGAAAAUAAUAAUAAAAAAUACAAUAAACAUUU